GCAUUCACUUUGGCAGCACAUUUACUAGAUUAUAACAAUACAGAAAAGAUCAGUAUGUCCCCUGCACAAGGAUAACACACA
rnacentral:snRNA from 1 species